rnacentral:rRNA from 1 species
UACGUAGGGUGCGAGCGUUGUCCGGAUUUAUUGGGCGUAAAGAGCUCGUAGGUGGUUCGGUAAGUCGGAUGUGAAAUCUCCAGGCUCAACCUGGAGGGGUCAUUCGAUACUGCCGUGACUAGAGGUCGGUAGGGGAGUGUGGAAUUCCUGGUGGAGCGGUGAAAUGCGCAGAUAUCAGGAGGAACACCCGUAGCGAAGGCGGCCCUCUGGGCCGAUACUGACACUGAGGAGCGAAAGCGUGGGGAGCGAACAGG